rnacentral:misc_RNA from 1 species
GAUUGCUGAAAGGGCCAUACUUCAGUGUAUGAAGAAAUGUCCUGGGAACUACUUGCUGGCCCUGAAAGCUAUACCUAGAACUUUGAGGAUGAUGUAAGUGUUUAUUUAGAAAUGUUUGAAUAUAAUAUCUUCCAUUGACCUGUAAGAUGGUUUGUGUUCAGCAUUUUCUGAAAGAAUCAUUAGCACUUCUGGGCCUUCGUCAUUAUUGAAUAAACUUUUGCUAGAAGUGAAUUUUAUUUAGACAAUUUAUUGCUUACACAUGAAUGCAUUUGUAAAUGCCAAUGUUGCUUAAUAAUCCAUUAUGGUUUAUUUCAAUCUCAGAUGUAAUGUUAAUUUGAAAACAUAUCACUUUAGCCUGCAGGAAGGAAGUAUAUUGCUUGUGAGUUUGUGUGUGUGCUUGGAAGUUGAGGUAUAUGUAAUGUUUAAUGUAAGACCAAUACUUUAUCAACACUUUAGCCUUUGGAGCUACAAUCAUACUAAUAUUUUUUCUGCAAUACUGAUUUACUAUAACGAGAUUAUGGACAAAUGCAUCAUGUAUGAUGAAAUUAUUGUAUUUUCACUGUAUGGUUUUUUAUUUAGAUAUUUGUGGUUUUUUAGGUAUGUGCACAGAGGAAGUAUAUUGCUUGUGAGUU